rnacentral:rRNA from 1 species
CCUACGGGGGGCUGCAGUCGGGAAUUUUGCUCAAUGGGCGCAAGCCUGAAGCAGCAACGCCGCGUGAGUGAUGAAGGCCUUCGGGUCGUAAACCUCUUUUUCCGAGGACGAUAAUGCCGGUACUCGGUGAAUAAGCCACGGCUAACUACGUGCCAGCAGCCGCGGUCAUACGUCGGUGGCAAGCGUUUUCCGGAUUUACUGGGCGUACAGAGCGCGCAGGCGGGCGUAUAAGUCGAAUGUGAAAGCCCCCGGCUCAACUGGGGAGGGGCAUUCGAUACUGUUCGACUCGAAGGCAGGAGAGGGAAGUGGAAUUCCGGGUGUAGUGGUGAAAUGCGUAGAUAUCCGGAGGAACACCAGUGGCGAAGGCGACUUUCUGGCCUGUUCUUGACGCUGAGGCGCGAAAGCUAGGGGAGCAAACGGGAUUAGAUACCCUGGUAGUC